rnacentral:rRNA from 1 species
CUCGGCCAAAAGGGACCUUCGGGCCUCUCGCGUCAAGAUAUGCCUAGGUGGGAUUAGCUAGUUGGUGAGGUAAUGGCUCACCAAGGCGACGAUCCCUAGCUGGUCUGAGAGGAUGAUCAGCCACACUGGAACUGAGACACGGUCCAGACUCCUACGGGAGGCAGCAGUGGGGAAUAUUGCACAAUGGGCGAAAGCCUGAUGCAGCCAUGCCGCGUGUAUGAAGAAGGCCUUCGGGUUGUAAAGUACUUUCAGUUGUGAGGAAGGGGGUGGCGUUAAUAGCGCUAUCUCUUGACGUUAGCAACAGAAGAAG